GUGCUCAUUUUGGCAGCACAUAUUUUAAAACUGAAGUAAUGCACAGAAGAUUAGUCUGGUCCCUAUGCGAGAUGGAAAUCAAAUCCAUGAAUCACUUCACACUUUU
ensembl:snRNA U6 U6 spliceosomal RNA